AUUCUGACAGGUUCAAGGUUGAUUCAGCCUUCCAUCCUUCUGUGGUUGGUAAAAUGAGGACCCAGAUUAUUGGGGCAAGAUGCUGACUCCAUAAACUGCUUAGAGAAGCUGUAGAGCACUACGAAGCCGUAUAUAAGUCUACCUGCUAUUGCUA